CACAUUCACCGCUACCUGAUGCG
rnacentral:rRNA from 1 species